AUACAGAGGGUGCGAGCGUUAAUCGGAAUUACUGGGCGUAAAGCGCGCGUAGGCGGCUUGGUCAGUCGGAUGUGAAAGCCCCGGGCUCAACCUGGGAAUGGCAUUCGAUACUGCCAGGCUAGAGUAUGGGAGAGGGAAGUGGAAUUUCCGGUGUAGCGGUGAAAUGCGUAGAUAUCUGAAGGAACACCAGUGGCGAAGGCGACUUCCUGGCCCAAUACUGACGCUCAGGUGCGAAAGCGUGGGGAGCGAACAGGAUUAGAAACCCUAGUAGUCC
rnacentral:rRNA from 1 species